rnacentral:rRNA from 1 species
GACGUAGGGCGCGAGCGUUGUCCGGAAUCACUGGGCGUAAAGGGCGCGUAGGCGGCCUGAUAAGUAGGGGGUGAAAUCCUGCGGCUUAACCGCAGGGCUGCCUUCUAAACUGUCAGGCUGGAGCACAGUAGAGGCAGGUGGAAUUCCCGGUGUAGCGGUGGAAUGCGUAGAGAUCGGGAAGAACAUCAGUGGCGAAGGCGGCCUGCUGGGCUGUUGCUGACGCUGAGGCGCGACAGCGUGGGGAGCAAACAGG